CAGUGGGGAAUUUUGCGCAAUGGGUGAAAGCCUGACGCAGCAAUACCGCGUGAGUGAUGAAGGCUCUUGGGUCGUAAAGCUCUGUCAGAGGGGAAGAACAUCCUGUCACUUAAUACGUGGCAGGCCUGACGGUACCCUCAGAGGAAGCACCGGCUAACUUCGUGCCAGCAGCCGCGGUAAUACGAAGGGGGCUAGCGUUGCUCGGAAUUACUGGGCGUAAAGGGAGCGUAGGCGGACAUUUAAGUCAGGGGUGAAAUCCCGGGGCUCAACCUCGGAAUUGCCUUUGAUACUGGGUGUCUUGAGUAUGAGAGAGGUAUGUGGAACUCCGAGUGUAGAGGUGAAAUUCGUAGAUAUUCGGAAGAACACCAGUGGCGAAGGCGACAUACUGGCUCAUUACUGACGCUGAGGCUCGAAAGCGUGGGGAGCAAACAGGAUUAGAUACCCUGGUAGUCCACGCCGUAAACGAUGAUUGCUAGUUGUCGGGAUGCAUGCAUUUCGGUGACGCAGCUAACGCAUUAAGCAAUCCGCCUGGGGAGUACGGUCGCAAGAUUAAAACUCAAAUGAAUUGACGG
rnacentral:rRNA from 1 species